UGCGUCCACCGUAGUGGAAGAGCUAAUGAAGGAUGGGUUGAAACCAUAACCUCCGAUUUUGAAGACUCUGCCUCCCAGACGGGCUCUCAGAGGAGCCACACCAGCCCUGAUUCCGGCUGCUCUGGCUCCGCCGGCACCCAAGCCGAGGCCGCCCCCAAGAGCGAGAGCGCCCAGUCCUGCUCCUGCACCAGCUCCAGCUCCAAAACCUACACCCAGACCUCCUCCCAGGCCAAAACCGGCUCCUGCUCCACCCCCCCUCGCCAAGCCGAGCGAACGGGACAGAGCUACGCUAACACCUCCACCGCCCCUAGCUCCGGAAGAGAACAGACGGUUGCCUCCAUAGGUGGCUCCAAAUCUGACGGCUCCCCCACUGAUACGCAAGCUCGAAUCUGUCAUAUCUGCACUCAGAGCUGGGGUCCAGGUCUUUGCCGAGGUGCUCAGUCAGGAUGCCUCGUCCAACUUUGUGCUUUAAAUACCCAACUCUUUGAAGGGCCGCCCAGAAAGAUUUGCUGUCAGUGAGAGUCACAUGUCCCAGCAAACAGACAGGCAAGCGUCCCCCCUGCAGGCACCGAUUUCUCUCCAACAUGUUUGAGUAAUUUAACAGCCUUGGUAUGUGAGACUGAGAGAGACAAAACCCCUGCAGCACCUAUGUGCACAUUUAAAGAGAGUAUCAUAUGAAUGACAUUUUUAAUGUAACUUUAUAUUGGUGUAAGACAUUUAAUAUUCAGGGUUUUUUUUAAAUCUAUUUGACUGCACUGACACUAUCGGAUGAGAACAAAACUUGAACUGAAUUGAGCUGGAUGGUAAAACUAUUGUCUUCUUCAGUAGAGCUGCUUUAUAGCUAAAUCACGUUUCAUUAUUGACAAAAUUUGCUACAUACAACCGUUAUUGAACUGAAUCAACAUUAAACUGCGCCAAAUAAUGACACUUGCCUUAGAUCUGCUUAUAGCGAAAUUGAAUUUGUUUUAUAAUUGAUGAACUUUACAGUUAUUGAAAUGAACUGAAUCAACACUGAAUUGACUUCAGCUGAAUAAUGACACUAUUGUCAUUUUUACAGCAGAAUUUGUCUUAUAUUUGAUGAAGUUUGCAUCAAUUCUGUUAUUUACUUGUUCAUUACUUGACGUCACUAUUCUUGACGUGUAUAGUCAGGGGUGGACAUAAGUGGUACGCAGGUGCGCAUGCGCGGUAAAAAUAAACGAUGCGCACCAGAAAACAUGGAGGGAAGCGCUUUUGAGUACCAACAUUUGAGGACCAGUUCACAAGAACAACUUUACUUACUGGAGUAGGAUUUUUCUCCAUCUCUGGAUGAAGUGGAGUUGCUGCAAAAUUGCUGACAGUCAGAUCAACAGGGCAGACAGCUCUGGACACAUCUUGAAACUACAGCUACAGUAAAUUGCUUUAUAAACUUCACCAGGAAAAAGAACCAAUAAGUGAUUCAACCACUUGGCAAUGACCUCAGAAUACAGUAUAAU